rnacentral:miRNA from 1 species
AGGCCAGGUGGGUAUGGAGAGCCCUCACAUGACAGUUGGCGAGGGCCCAGUGAGCCCCUCUCUGCUCUCCAG